AAAGUACUCCCUCCGUCCCAAAAUUCUUAUCUUAGAUUUGUCUAGAUACGGAUGUAUCAAGUCACAUUUUAGUAUUAGAUACAUCCGUAUCUAGAAAAAUCUAAGACAAGAAAUUUGGUACAGAGGGAGUAGUUA
rnacentral:pre_miRNA from 1 species